AAAGGGUGCGUAGGCGGCCUGUUAAGUCAGGGGUGAAAGACGGUAGCUCAACUAUCGCAGUGCCCUUGAUACUGACGGGCUUGAAUGGACUAGAGGUAGGCGGAAUGUGACAAGUAGCGGUGAAAUGCAUAGAUAUGUCACAGAACACCGAUUGCGAAGGCAGCUUACUAUGGUUUUAUUGACGCUGAGGCACGAAAGCGUGGGGAUCAAACAGGAUUAGAUACCCUUGU
rnacentral:rRNA from 1 species